GACGAACGCUGGCGGCGUGCUUAACACAUGCAAGUCGAACGAUGAAGAAAAGAAUCGAAGCUUCGGCAGAAAUUCAUUUCGGAUUAGUGGCAGACGGGUUAGUAACCCGUGAGCAACCUACCUCUUACAAAGGGAUAGCCUCGGGAAACCGGGAUUAAUACCAUAUAACAUUGCGACGAAGCAUUUCGAUGCAAUCAAAGCUACGGCGGUAAGAGAUGGGCUCGCGUCCCAUUAACCGGAUGGUGAGGUAACGGCUCACCAUAGUGACGAUGGGUAACCGGCCUGAGAGGGUGAACGGUCACACUGGAACUGAGACACGGUCCAGACUCCUACGGGAGGCAGCAGUGGGGAAUAUUGCACAAUGGAGGGAACUCUGAUGCAGCGACGCCGCGUGAGUGAUGAAGGAAUUCGUUUCGUAAAACUCUGUUCUAUGGGAAGAAAAGGACUGUACCAUAGGAGAAAGCUCCGGCUAAAUACGUG
rnacentral:rRNA from 1 species